rnacentral:rRNA from 1 species
AUGUUCAUUUGGUUUGAGGGCUCACAUGAUUGGGUAAUUUUCUACUCCCAACCGAAAACUCAGUGUGAUGUCUAUGCAAUUUGUGGACCUUUCGCAAAUUGCAAUGAUAACGUCGUUCCACAUCACAACUACAUGGAGGGCUUCGCCAUAACAUCCCCCCAGCAUUGGGAGCUAGAAGAUCGAACUGGUGGGUGCUCGAGGACUACUCCAUUAGACUGCAUUAGCAACAAAAGCACAACACAGACCACAAACAAGUUCUACUCUGUGUCAUGUGUUAGGUUGCCUCAAAAUGCCCCAAAAUUAGAAUCUGCUACAAGUGUGAUUGCGUGCGUAAAAGUUUGUCUGAAUAACUGCUCUUGCACUGCAUAUUCCUACAUCGACAGUGGAUGUUUUAUUUGGUACAAUGAAUUGCUAAACUUAAAACAACUACAAUGUAGAGACACGGCCAAUUCAAAUGAAGAAACUCUUUACCUUCGCCUUUCUGCUAAAGAUAUUCAAAGUUUGAAAAACAAGAGAAGAGGUGUUGCUAUUGGAGUUUCCACUGGUACAUGUGUUUCUGCUCUAGGCUUAUUUGGACUCAUCCUCAUACUAAUGAUUUGGAGAAACAAAAGGAAGAUGUCUGGUCGCAUACUGAAUGGUGCUCAAGGUUCUAACGGAAUCCUUGCAUUUAGAUACACAAAUUUACAAUGUGCCACAAAAAAAUUCACAGAAAAGUUGGGGGGGGGAGGCAGUUUUGGUUCCGUAUUCAAGGGAUUUAUAGAUAACUCAAUUGACAUAGCAGAAAGGCUUGACGACACUUAUCAAGGAGAGAAGCAAUUUAAAGCAGAAGUAAGCUCGAUUGGAGCCAUCCAACACAUCAAUCCAGUCAAGCUUGUUGGCUUCUGUUGUGAGAGUUUUAAGAGGUUGCUUGUUUAUGAACACAUGUCAAAUCGCUCUCUUGAUGUAAAUCUAUUUCAAAGCAAUUCUACCCUGUUGAAUUGGACUACUAGGUACCAUAUAGCCUUGGGUGUUGUCAGAUGGUUAGCCUACUUGCAUCAGAGUUGUCGAGACUGCAUUAUACACUGUGAUAUUAAACCAGAAAACAUACUUCUUGACGUUUCAUUCAUUCCGAAAGUUGCAGACCUUGGGAUGGCAAAACUUUUGGGGAGGGAUUUUAGCCGAGUACUGACUACAAUGAGAGUAAAUGUUGGAUACCUUGCACCUGCAUGGAUUACUGGCGUGGCUAUUACACCCAAAGUCGAUGUUUAUAGCUACAGGAUGGUUUUGCUGGAAAUAAUAUCUAGAAAGAGGAACUCAUGCUCACCAUGUUCUAGGGGUGGAAACCUUGAUGUUUUUCCCCCUGUGCAUGCUGCACAUAAGCUUCUUGAAGGAGUGGAGAGUUUGGUAGAUCACAUGUUACAUGGUGAUGUCAAUCUGAAUGAGGUUGAACUGGCUUGCGAGAUUGCAUGUUGGUGCAUCCAGGAUGAUGAGCUUGAUCGACCAACAAUAGGACAGGUAGUUCAGAUUCUUGAAGGGCUAGUUGAGACCAGGAUGCCCCCAAUACCAAGACUGCUCCAAGCUAUCGUUGGCAGCUCUAAUUCAACGUGCUCCUAA